rnacentral:tRNA from 1 species
GGAGGUGAGCGGCUGUGGCUCGGUGGCAGAGCUUCCGCCUGGCACAUAGAAGGCCCCUGGUUCAAUUCCCGGCAUCUCCA